rnacentral:piRNA from 1 species
UAGGAGAGUGACGGUAACCUGGA